CAACAUAACUCAAACUCAUAUAUAUAAAGGCCCAGAAGAGCCACAUAGCAUUCAAUACAAACAGGGGUCUCAUGACCCAUCACUAAGAGCAUACAAACAACGGAAGCAUUACAUGUCUGAGUACAGACACCUACAAAAGGAAAAGACUAAGAAGCCUGACUAAACAGGACCCUCCCAAGGGUACAAGAUCAUAGCUUGGAUACAAGCUACUCGUCACAGUCACUAGUGUAACCAACUGCAAAACAUAAAUAAGCAAAUGUGAGUAUGAAGGUACUCAGCAAGUCUUACAUCAGAACUAUCUACAUAUGCAACAUUAUCAACAAAGGGGGUGGUGGAGUUUUAACAACAGCAAGCCAGCUUUGACUCAGUGGCUAACCUAUACUACGAGUAUCAGAAACUUCUUUGAGGUGAGAAGACGCACACGAGUCCACAUAUUCACCAUAUCAAUACUCCACUAUGGAUCCGUUCCCGCCUCCCUACGAGAAGGCCAUCCAUAGCACUCACGCUUAUGUUGCGGAUUUUAAAGUAUCCACUUCAAGUUGUCUAUGUACUACAUAAGUCCUCCAAGUUUCCUUAUCCGAGGAAAACGACUAUUCGAAUAGAUAAUGUUAACCCUGCAGGGGUGUACUUCUUCACACACACUCUCGCCACUUAUCGCCCUGUACACGUCAUGUACCUCGGCAACCUUCAAGCAGAAGACGGGCGAGGGUGUCGGCCACAACCUGACUAACCACACAAGUCUCUCGUCCAGGUUUAUCGCCUAUUCGAGUUCCAUCCGCAAGGAGUUCCGGCCGAAGUCUCCAGUACGGCCCAAACGAUGUGUGCAGGGUUCCCAAGCCCACCAUCCGGGUGCCACUUGGUACACCGUGCCAUAGUGCCUAGUCUGUCCCAAGCCCGUCCCGUCGGACACCACCUGGUAGACAAGUAACACUACCUACAAACGCCAGAAACUAGUUGCAACUCCUGGACAGAUAUCAAGUGGAUUAAUAAGCCGAGAGGGGCCAGAUAACCGGAACCCAAUGUGUGGUAGUAACUGGACUUGGAUAACAUACACAGAACUCAGUGCUUAGGGACAGUUCCAAUGAGACAACCCACCAUGUACUCGUACAUGGCCUCUCAUCGCUACCUUUACCAAAAUGUGUUCACACACUUAGCCUUUAUCGGUAGGACAUGUUCACCACUCCGAUUCAUUCCCGAUGAAUCAGACCUGACACAACUCUAAGCAUAGCUGGCAUAAAGAAAACAAGCAUGGAUGAGUAGGCACAUCAAGGCUCAAGCAACUCCUACUCAUGCUAGUGAGUUUCAACUAUUUACUGUGGCAAUGACAGGUCAUGCAGAGGAAUGGGUUCAACUACCGCAGCAGAAAGUAACAGUUGACUCGUUGUUGUCCUAAUGCAAUAUAAGGAGCAGGAGCGAGAGAGUGGGAUUUAUCGAAAUGCUCAAGGGGGGUUGCUUGCCUAAUAGAACGACGAAGGGCCACUGCUCCUCUGACAGGUACUCAGGAACACCUUCCGGAGUGGAACCUAUCGAGAAGAAACGGUGCCGGCAAUCAAUACACAAACAAUGCAACAAUAUGAUGCAUGAACAUGACAUGUGCAAAUGGUAGUGUUUGGGAUAAUGCAAGAUGCUACCAAAUUGGUUGAAGCCCAUUUGAAUCAAAUAUUUAAAUGCAAAUUCAAAAUGAAGCAUUUAAAAUGCCCAUAUUAUGUUUUCACUUAUACAGCAUUUAUAAGUUGGUUUUUCAUGCAUGUAACUGGCAUAAAUGGAUUCCUUGCAUUUUUCUGAUCAUUUUUCAUAUAUAAGUUAUUUCAUUCUGAGCUACGGUUGAAUUAUUAUGAUUUUUUGAAGUUUAAGCAAUAUUCUGGAAUUUCCUGAGUUAAAAAUAAUUCCAGAAAUCAUUUAUUGCGACAGCUUGAGGUCAGCACUGCGUCAGCAGUCAACUGGGUUGACCCAGGUCAAACCUGACCAGUGGGACCCACUGGUCAGUGACUAACUAAACUAACCUAGUUUAAUUAGCACUAAUCUAGGUUAAACUAAUUAGUUUUAAACCUAAACUAGACUAAUUAACCGGGCGGGGCCCGCAUGUCAUAGACCCAGGGGAGGUCAAAUCCCCUGGUCAACCGGGCAAACCUACCGGCGACUCGACGCUGGCGAGGCCAGACGCGGCGGUGCGCUGCGGGUUUCGCCUACCGGGCGCCAUUUGGCGCGCGGAGCGCAACUACGGGAUGCGGACGCUCGUCCGCAUCCAACCGUGGUGGUAGCGCGGCCGGGGAGUGGCCGGAAUGGCGCCGGCGAUAACGAGUGCGGCGGCCGGAGUUUGGCCAGGUGUGCGCGGGGUAUUGCGGGGCACGACAGGAGCUGCAAGCAGGUCCGCUCGACUCACCGAAGUGCACUGUGUGCAAUGGCUGCGAUGGCCCUGGCCACGGCGGCGCCAUGGCCGGCGGCACGGAGCUCUCGGCUCCGGUGGCAGAGGCGGCUAGAGGAGAGGAACGAGCUCGAGGAGGAGGGGAAAAGGCGGAGGAGCUCACAGAGAGGCUAACGGAGGGCUCGGCAGGCGCGGGGACGGCUGGUGGGCAGCAAAUCGACGGCGAGGGUCUCCGGGCACCGAAGUUGAAGAAGACGUCGGGGACAGCAUUGCAGGGCCUCCGGCGAAGCCUGGCUCGACGUGGAGGUUGAGGGAGACACGGCAGAGCUUCUGGGCAUGUCCAGGGGGCGAGGGGGAGGCAGUGGCCGCGGCAACGGCGUGUGGUGGCGUCGGCUGCGCUCGGUGGCGCUGCGGGGAAGAGAAAACAGAGGAGGGGAGGAGCACGGAAGAGAGUGAGAGAGGUCCAGGGGUGCGUGGCGUCUCCAGGGACGUCCAGAGGGAGGCAGCAAGCAGGAGGUGGCCGGGCGUGCGCCGGCGUGCAUCGGCCACACGCUCGGCGUCCUCAUGGCGCGGUGGAGACGACGACUGGCAGGGCCAGCUGGCUGGGCCGGUCAGCUGGGCCGAAUAGUGCCAGGCCUCAGGUAAGUGGCCCAGGUAAGGGUUUUUCCCUUUUUGUUUCUUUUUCUAUUUUUCUGACAUUUGUUUGGUUUAAUAGAAAUACUAAACCAUUUUAUUUUCUUAUGCCAAUUUUUGUAGGGGCUAGUGGUAUUAUUCCAGAGCUCCUCAAUUACUAGCAUAAUUUUUGGACAAUAUUAUAUAUAUAUAUAACAAUAUAUGUUGAAAGCAAAUAAUUACUGCAUUAAUUCCAAUUGCCCAACAUAAAUACUUAUGAGCUCCUGAAAAUGUUGGUUUGAUUUUCAUCUCUGUCCAAAAUAUUCAGAGAGCAACAUGAACAUUUUCUUGGACCUUUUUGAAGCAAUUUUUAUCUGGGUCAUUUCCAGAAAUGAUUCUAAGGGUUUCACAAAUCCUCAUUUCAAAAUUAAAAGGAAUUUAAACAUGAUGCACAAAUGACUAGCUUGUCUAGGUCAUACCAGAGCUAGGGAUGUGACAAAAUUGCUAGACCAAUGGAAUUAACCAGAAUGCAAGUAUGCAAGAAUUCCCAGAACAACAGGUUGUUGAAGAUUUUCGAAAGAUCAAAUAGUAUUUUGAAGUCUUUUGCGGAACACAAGAACAACUGGGAAUGAGUGGAUACUCGAUAAGUGCGAGGAAUUAUCCGUAUUGGUAUUUCUGCGGCAAGGAACUUCAAGGCAGUGGUACAAGCGAUUCUUAAGAGUCGGAGAGCAAUUCGAUGCAUCUUGUAAUAACAGGAGAAACUCAGAGUAAUUGUAUGAACAACAAGUGUAUGUCGUUAUCCAUAUGGAUAUAUCGGUAAUAGGGAAUUGAAAAGGCAGAGGGCACAAGGGUCUCGGGAAUGAUCAAAGAGUAUCUUCAAAAUCUUCUGGUGCAGUAGGCGAUCAUCUGUGAUAAGGGGCUCUCCGGGAAAGUAGUUACGAGAACCUAGAGUUAGAGUUAGCAAAAUCAUUUAACCCGAAUAGAAGAGAGAUCAGAGUCCCAGAGUAUAGACAAGGAGUAAAAGAUCCUAGUACCACCCAAUGGCGACAUGGGCCCAUGGGCCGCACAACCAUGUUAGUAAAAUAGUUUUCAUCGACUAGACUCAACUUCGGCCAAAGAGUGUGGAAGGGGGAUUCCUACAGGCAGUCGGCUCUGAUACCAACUUGUGAUGUCCUCGAUUCAAUCGUACACUAAUCAUACAUGCAAAUGUGUACAAUUAAGAUCAAGGAUUCAUGGGAAGAUAUCACAACACAACUCUAGACACAAAUUAAAAUAAUACAAGCUUUAUAUUACAAGCCAGGGGCCUCGAGGGCUCGAAUACAUAAGCUCGAAUAUACAAGAGUCAACGGAAGCAACAAUAUCUGAGUAUAGACAUGAGUUAAACAAGUUUGCCUUAAGAAGACUAGCACAAAAACAAUAACGAUCGAAAAGGCAAUGCCUCCUGCAUGGGAUCCUCCUAACUACUCUAAGUCGUCAGCGGCCGUCACGUAGUAGUAGGCACCCUCAGGGUAGCAGUAGUCUUCAGUGGUGUCGUCUGGCUCCUGGGAUCCGUCAUCUGGUCGCAACAACCAGGUAUGGGGGAAAAAGAGGUAGCAAAGCAACCGUGAGUACUCAUCCAAAGUACUCGCAAGACUUACAUCAGAUCUAAACUAAGUGUGCAUCUAUAUCAAAGGAAAUGGGCCGUAUCCGUGGACUAAACUGCAGAAUGCCAGAAGAGAAGGGGAAAAGCCUAGCCUAUCAAAGACUAGCAUCUUCUGGAACCCACCAUCUUGCAGCAAUAGGAGGGAGUAGAGUAGCAUAAAGUAAAGUAGUAGAAGUGCUAUCAACCUCAGCCAGAGAUCCUUUCUUGACUCCCUGCGAGAAAGCAAUCCCAGAGCCGUACUGUCCAUUUCUCAUAUCCAUUCAUUUCUCAUCACAUGUAUACACUUCUAGUUGUAUCGAUCGGGAUACAACUCCAAGUGUCCGUUACCGUAGGACAGGCUAUUGAUAGAUGUUUUCUUCCCUGCAGGGGUGCACCAACUUACCCACCACAAUCGAUUAACUUCGGCCGGACACACUUUCCUAGGUCAUGCCCGGCCUCGACCAAACAAUAUGCCGCAACCCGACCUAGGCUUAAUAGAGAGGUCAGCACGCCGGACUAAACCUAUGCCCCCAGGGGCCUUGGGCCAUCGCCCCGGGAAUUCCUGCACGUUGCGUGGGCGGCCGGUGAGCAGACCUAGCUACCUCCUUCAACAAGGCAGGAGCUUACGCAGUCCAACCCGGCGUGUGCCGCUCAGUCGCUGACGUCUAUUAAACUUCGGCUGAUGUAUACGACGCAGAACGCCCAUAUAAUGCCCACGUGAUUGUUAGUGCUAUCAGGCCAGAGGCCCCUUGGAUCAAAUAUCCAAACCGUAGUGGAUUAGAUGCACGCGGUAAUGAGCAAAGACUCAUGAUUGAUGUGACCCCGUCGCCCCAUCUCGAGUACUUGCGACAAGGGCUAAGAAUGCCCGGCCACGCGUCGUAAGUAUCUCGCGGGCACCUUUCAGAUCAACCCGACCCCACAUCACUCACAAUUAAGCUCGCGCGGGUACCCCUCAGGGCCGACCCAUCUUUAGUAACAUGGCUCAGUGCAAAGUCAUAGUAACCAUAGUAACUGUGUGUCUAACACCAAGGGGAAAACCCGAGGAAUCACCCCCGGUGAAUUCCACUCGAUGUUGGCAUCAAGGUGAACGUAAAAGGAUCCACCCUCGAGGUUCACACUUGAGGGGUUGCACGACAGAGCCGUAACGGAAGUGGUUAAGGAGGAAAUCACCCUCGAUGAUCACGACUGAAUAGCUACACUACAGAGAUCUCACCAGGAGUGAUGUAUGAGGUUCACCCUCGGCACUCGAUAGUAACUCUGUAGUGUCGUACAACUAGGGGGUGAUGUGCGGUGUCGGGGCCUGGACGUCGAUCACGUUGAUCGAGUCAUCGAACAUAAAGCGAGGCAACUGGGACAAGGUGGGGUCACUGAUGGAUCUCUAACCAACAUAUACUAAGCAGUUUAGGAUAAGCAGGUAAGGUAUAAAAGUAGGUAACAACAACAGGGUAUGCAUCAUAGUAGGAUCAUACAAAAAGCAGUAGCAGUUCUAAUGCAAGCAUGAGAGGGAAAGAAAUGGGCGAUAUCGGAAUGCUCAAGAAGGGUUUGCUUGCCUGGUUGCUCUGGCAAGGAGGGGUCGUCGGGGAUGUAGUCAUACUCAGUCACAUCAACGUCGGUCUCGGGGUCUACCGGAGAAGAAGAUAGGGAGAAACAGUAAAUACAGG
rnacentral:lncRNA from 1 species